UAGUCAGUCGGACCUCUUUGGGGUCGACGGGCUGCUCGCCAUUUUCCUAUUUUCCUACUGCUCCGUCCUUUGACCCGUUCUGUCGGAGUCUUUCGUCUCUUCAUCGACUAAACCAGCCCUCCCUAAACUUGUCGAUAACAAUUUUGUCUCCUGAACAGGGAGCCGGUCAUGCUGACUGACGAGGGAAGGUGGGGUGUUUGUGUUGCCGAGCGCUCGGCGUGGAUCCGUCAUUCGCAGGUGAAAGUAGCUGUUGUGGACAUCCCUGCGGCGACUCCCGGAGGACCCGCGCCAUCGCCUCCCGCGCCGACGGCUGCCCCAUGUCUUCCCUCAGUGCCUCCGUCCCCGCAGGCCACCCGCGUCCCACCUCUACGGCUUCGUCGGUCCUCAUCUGGAUGGGCUGUGCUUCCUUGACUGUCCUCCGCUGGUGUCCUCUGGCGUUGCGCUCUGUGUUGUUUCUGCAACUCUCCCCACCAGGACCAUAUCUUGCUCCUGACUACGAACUCUGAGGAGGGGAUGCAGAUGUCCGGUCUGACCUAGUCCCUCCGGGCCUUUUCUCCGUGUUUGUCUGCCGGCUGCUUGCCUACCUUCGCCCUGGUACAACCAGAACCCCUGGUGCGUCUCUCGGGGGCCUCUUGGCUCUGGGGACGCAGAGGGGGGACUGUUGCGGACUGUGAUAGUGAGGCCAACCCAAAGAUGGCCACGGUGAGGCCAGCCUCAAGCCUGUGUCAUGUCACCUGUGUCACAUAAACGGCAAGAUGGCUCCUUCGUGUCACGUGACCCAUUCAAACUUCGCUCCAUGUGCCACUUUUCAAACGUCGUGCCCAUGCCACUUUUGCGCGGGCCGGUCGGGUGUGACGGGAACUGGUUGGAUGUCACGUGAUCAGGGAAGUGCUUACCGAUCCUACAUGUGUCCAGCCCCGAUUGGGCGCCUUGCGCCAGCGUCAUGUUCCGCCAUCCCAAUAAAGCUGGCAGGGCAGCCUGGGAUUGGGGCGCUGCAGUCAGUUGUUACCCCGCCGGGGUGAACAGGCUACUUGCCGCUUUCCUACUGCUCUGUCCUUUGACUCGUU